GAUGAACGCUGGCGGCGUGCCUAAUACAUGCAAGUCGAGCGAACAGAUGAGGAGCUUGCUCUUCUGACGUUAGCGGCGGACGGGUGAGUAACACGUGGAUAACCUACCUAUAAGACUGGGAUAACUUCGGGAAACCGGAGCUAAUACCGGAUAAUAUAUUGAACCGCAUGGUUCAAUAGUGAAAGACGGUUUUGCUGUCACUUAUAGAUGGAUCCGCGCGGCAUUAGCUAGUUGGUAAGGUAAUGGCUUACCAAGGCAACGAUGCGUAGCCGACCUGAGAGGGUGAUCGGCCACACUGGAACUGAGCCACGGUCCAGACUCCUACGGGAGGCAGCAGUAGGGAAUCUUCCGCAAUGGGCGAAAGCCUGACGGAGCAACGCCGCGUGAGUGAUGAAGGUCUUCGGAUCGUAAAACUCUGUUAUUAGGGAAGAACAAAUGUGUAAGUAACUAUGCACGUCUUGACGGUACCUAAUCAGAAAGCCACGGCUAACUACGUG
rnacentral:rRNA from 1 species